rnacentral:rRNA from 1 species
AUUGUCUCAGACUAAGCCAUGCAUGUCUAAGUAUAAAUGGUAUACAGUGAAACUGCGAAUGGCUCAUUAAAACAGUUAUAGUUUAUUUGGUAAUCGAAUUUACAUGGAUAACCGUGGUAAUUCUAGAGCUAAUACAUGCUGUAAGCCCGACUUUUCGGAAGGGCCGUAUUUAUUAGAUAACAGACCAAUGCCCCCCCGGGCUUUGUGGUGACUCAUAGUAACUAAUCGGAUCGCAUGGGCCUGUCCCGCGACAAACCAUUCAAGUUUCUGCCCCAUCAGCUUUCGAUGGUAGUGUAUUGGACUACCAUGGCUUUUACGGGUAACGGAGGAUUAGGGUUCGAUUCCGGAGAGGGAGCCUGAGAAACGGCUACCACAUCUAAGGAAGGCAGCAGGCGCGUAAAUUACCCAAUCCUAAUUCAGGGAGGUAGUGACAAGAAAUAAUGGGUCGGAAUUAACGUUCCGGGACCGCAAUGAGAUGAAUUUACACCCCUUUUCGAGGA